UAGAGCACCGACAAUUCUGCAGAGUUUCUGCGUUUUCUGUACAGAUUUGAAAGACUUUCAAACUAAAUCAUUUCUUUCCAAAUUUUAACAAUUUCCAUUUGUCAACAAAUUGUUCGAGUCUGUUUUCACUGUUAGGACACGUAAACGAAUUUCAUAGAAUUACCAACAGUUACUACAGAACAACCACUUACUUGAUAAGCAGGCAUGGCGAACCUAGAAGGAAUCGAAUAUGACACAAAAACACUCAUUGCGAGAUUUAACACAGACGAAGAAAAAAUUUCUAGUUUCUUGAAGGGUCAUCUUCAGAAAAUACUAACUAGUUACCUACAGCGUGUAAAACAAAACGAAGGCAGAAAAUCUGUGGAAAUCGAGAAAUUAAUCAACACGGCGAAAACAAAACUGGAACAGCUACCAACAUACGAAAUCGUCGACAAUAAUUUAAAAGAUGAAGAGUUAAUUAAAAUGAAAGAAUUUUUUUUGGAUAUCCAUAUCAAAUUAACUAAUAACAAAGUGCUAGACUACAGGAGUAUUUUCAACACAGCAGUCUACUACGGAAGUUGCAUAGAGAAAAGUUUGCAUCGUUUUGAUGGCACGGAACCAUAUAAUUUAUCAGAAAUGCUCAAGUGUUUAUUCUUAUGUGCGGGGCCUCAGAAAGUAUCGAAAAUACUUUCGGAAAACAUACAUCACUUGGGUGACGUUUCUGAAAAAAUGUAGACACUUAACAUGCCAAAAGGUCGACACAUCAAGCUUAAAAAAAAUUAGCAUCAACUGGAACAAGUUUUGGGGAAGUUAACAAGUUUCCAAAUAUUUCUGUCCAAAGAAGUGAAGAACUUGAUCGAAAUUAAACAGCCGGUUGCAGCGUUGUUAGCACGUUUUGAUGUGUAGAUUUAUUUACUUGCAGUUCAUACAUAAAAUAAAAUUACAAUCAGUUAAACUAAACUAAA